ACAGAGGGGGCGAGCGUUAUUCGGAAUUAUUGGGCGUAAAGGGCGCGUAGGCGGCUUGGCAAGUGGAUGGUGAAAUCCCUCGGCUUAACCGAGGAACUGCCGUCCAAACUGCUUUGCUUGAGGCCGGGAGAGGCGAGUGGAAUUCCCAGUGUAGCGGUGAAAUGCGUAGAUAUUGGGAGGAACACCAGUGGCGAAGGCGGCUCGCUGGACCGGUUCUGACGCUGAGGCGCGAAAGCGUGGGGAGCAAACGGGAUUAGAUACCCCGGUAGUCCACGCCGUAAACGAUGAGUGCUUGGUGUAGCGGGUAUCGACCCCUGCUGUGCCGAAGUCAACACAUUAAGCACUCCGCCUGGGGAGUACGGUCGCAAGGCUG
rnacentral:rRNA from 1 species